rnacentral:rRNA from 1 species
AUUGAACGCUGGCGGCAUGCUUUACACAUGCAAGUCGAACGGCAGCGCGGGCUUCGGCCUGGCGGCGAGUGGCGAACGGGUGAGUAAUGCAUCGGAACGUGCCCAGUAGUGGGGGAUAGCCCGGCGAAAGCCGGAUUAAUACCGCAUACGACCUGAGGGUGAAAGCGGGGGACCGAAAGGCCUCGCGCUAUUGGAGCGGCCGAUGUCGGAUUAGCUAGUUGGUGGGGUAAAGGCUUUCCAAGGCGACGAUCCGUAGCUGGUCUGAGAGGACGACCAGCCACACUGGGACUGAGACACGGCCCAGACUCCUACGGGAGGCAGCAGUGGGGAAUUUUGGACAAUGGGGGCAACCCUGAUCCAGCCAUGCCGCGUGCGGGAAGAAGGCCUUCGGGUUGUAAACCGCUUUUGUUCGGGAAGAAAUCCUCUGGGCUAAUACCCCGGGGGGAUGACGGUACCGGAAGAAUAAGCACCGGCUAACUACGU